rnacentral:rRNA from 1 species
UACGGGGGGGGCAAGCGUUGUUCGGAAUUACUGGGCGUAAAGGGCUUGUAGGCGGCCAACUAAGUCCGACGUGAAAUCCCAAGGCUUAACCUUGGAACUGCGUCGGAUACUGGAUGGCUUGAAUUCGGGAGAGGGAUGCAGAAUUCCAGGUGUAGCGGUGAAAUGCGUAGAUAUCUGGAGGAAUACCGGUGGCGAAGGCGGCAUCCUGGACCGACAUUGACGCUGAAAAGCGAAAGCUAGGGGAGCAAACGGG